GAGUUUGAUUAUGGCUCAGGAUUAACGCUGGCGGCGUGCGUAACACAUGCAAGUCGAACGGUAUUUUGAAAGGAAGAGACUUCGGUCUUGGAAAGUCAAGAGAGAGUGGCGAACGGGUGAGUAACGCGUGAGCAACCUGCCUUCCACAAAGGGAUAGCUGCCGGAAACGGUAAUUAAUACCAUAUGAAGUUAACGAAUCGCAUGAUAAGGUAACUAAAGAGAAAUCGGUGGAAGAUGGGCUCGCGUCCGAUUAGCUGGUUGGAGAGAUAACAGCUCACCAAGGCAAUGAUCGGUAGCCGGCUUGAGAGAGUGAACGGCCACACUGGAACUGAGAGACGGUCCAGACUCCUACGGGAGGCAGCAGUGGGGAAUUUUGCACAAUGGGGGGAACCCUGAUGCAGCGACGCCGCGUGAGCGAAGAAGGAAUUCGUUUCGUAAAGCUCUGUCCUAUGGAAAGAUAAUGACCGUACCUGGGAGCC
rnacentral:rRNA from 1 species